AUGGGCACCGAUUCCUCUUUCACAAGGUUUGAUUUGAUUUACUUAUUACUUGACAAGGUUGAUGAACAGACUGAUAGACGACUUGCCAAACAGAUUGUUUCCCUACACUUUAAGGAUCAUGAGGAUGUGUUGGAUAUUUCUACACUAACUAAUUACAUUAGCUAUGCCCGAAAGCAUAUACAUCCACACCUGUCAUGCUGA